rnacentral:rRNA from 1 species
UACGGAGGGUGCAAGCGUUAUCCGGAUUCACUGGGGUUAAAGAGUGCGUAGGUGGGCAGGUAAGUCAGUGGUGAAAUCUCCGGGCUUAACCCGGAAACUGCCGUUGAUACUAUUUGUCUUGAAUAUUGUGGAGGUAAGCGGAAUAUGUCAUGUAGCGGUGAAAUGCUUAGAUAUGACAUAGAACACCAAUUGCGAAGGCAGCUUACUACACAAUGAUUGACACUGAGGCACGAAAGCGUGGGGAUCAAACAGG